GAUGAACGCUGGCGGCGUGCCUAAUACAUGCAAGUCGAGCGAACAGACGAGGAGCUUGCUCCUCUGACGUUAGCGGCGGACGGGUGAGUAACACGUGGAUAACCUACCUAUAAGACUGGGAUAACUUCGGGAAACCGGAGCUAAUACCGGAUAAUAUAUUGAACCGCAUGGUUCAAUAGUGAAAGACGGUUUUGCUGUCACUUAUAGAUGGAUCCGCGCCGCAUUAGCUAGUUGGAAAGGUAACGGCUUACCAAGGCGACGAUGCGUAGCCGACCUGAGAGGGUGAUCGGCCACACUGGAACUGAGACACGGUCCAGACUCCUACGGGAGGCAGCAGUAGGGAAUCUUCCGCAAUGGGCGAAAGCCUGACGGAGCAACGCCGCGUGAGUGAUGAAGGUCUUCGGAUCGUAAAGCUCUGUUAUUAGGGAAGAACAAAUGUGUAAGUAACUAUGCACGUCUUGACGGUACCUAAUCAGAAAGCCACGGCUAACUACGUG
rnacentral:rRNA from 1 species